rnacentral:rRNA from 1 species
UACGUAGGUGGCAAGCGUUGUCCGGAAUUAUUGGGCGUAAAGCGCGCGCAGGCGGUCCUUUAAGUCUGAUGUGAAAGCCCACGGCUCAACCGUGGAGGGUCAUUGGAAACUGGGGGACUUGAGUACAGAAGAGGAAAGCGGAAUUCCACGUGUAGCGGUGAAAUGCGUAUAGAUGUGGAGGAACACCAGUGGCGAAGGCGGCUUUCUGGUCUGUAACUGACGCUGAGGCGCGAAAGCGUGGGGAGCAAACAGG